rnacentral:snoRNA from 1 species
CAUUGACGUGAUGAUAUCUUUGACGGAAUUUAAAAUGUCGACUAAAAUUUUCAGACUACAAUUAUCUGAUCACUG